rnacentral:rRNA from 1 species
GACGAACCGUACGAACGUUAUUCGGAAUUACUGGGCUUAAAGGGUGCGUAGGCGGCGCGGAGAGUAGGGUGUGAAAUCCCUCGGCUCAACCGAGGAACUGCGCUCUAAACUACCGUGCUCGAGGGAGAUAGAGGUGAGCGGAACUGAGGGUGGAGCGGUGAAAUGCGUUGAUAUCCUCAGGAACACCGGUGGCGAAAGCGGCUCACUGGAUCUCUUCUGACGCUGAGGCACGAAAGCUAGGGUAGCGAACGGG